AAACUUAAAGGAAUUGACGGAAGGGUACCACCAGGAGUGGAGCCUGCGGCUCAAUUUGACUCAACACGGGAAAUCUCACCAGACCCGAACAUCUCUAACGAUUGACAGAUUGAAAGCUCUUUCUUAAUGAAGUGGAUGGUGGUGCAUGGCCGUUCUUAGUUGGUGGAGUGAUCUGUCUGGUUAAUUCCGAUAACGAACGAGACUCUCCCCUGCUAACGGACCUUAGUGUUUUUCUAGACGGUGUGAUUCGGAGCAAGAGUCCAUGGGCGUAAGCCCCGGUCUCGGACGAUGUCCACUGAUCCUUGGUGCGUUGGUGUUCCGCGUGCCAUCGGAGAGUCGAGUGUUCGCAUUCUUCGCCUCUGCGGAUUUCUCGGUUCAUCGACAAAGUGCCUCGGAGUACGUUUCUUCUUAGAGGGAUUGACGACUUAUAAGUCGUAAGAAACAGGGAGCAAUAACAGGUCUGUGAUGCCCUUAG
rnacentral:rRNA from 1 species